rnacentral:rRNA from 1 species
AUUGAACGCUGGCGGCAUGCUUUACACAUGCAAGUCGAACGGCAGCGCGGGCUUCGGCCUGGCGGCGAGUGGCGAACGGGUGAGUAAUACAUCGGAACGUGCCCAGUAGUGGGGGAUAGCUCGGCGAAAGCCGGAUUAAUACCGCAUACCACCUGAGGGUGAAAGCGGGGGAUCUUCGGACCUCGGGCCAUUGGAGCGGCCGAUGGCAGAUUAGCUAGUUGGUGGGGUAAAGGCCUACCAAGGCGACGAUCUGUAGCUGGUCUGAGAGGACGACCAGCCACACUGGGACUGAGACACGGCCCAGACUCCUACGGGAGGCAGCAGUGGGGAAUUUUGGACAAUGGGCGAAAGCCUGAUCCAGCAAUGCCGCGUGUGUGAUGAAGGCCUUCGGGUUGUAAAGCACUUUUGGCGGGAACGAAAAGGACUGUGCCAAUACCACGGUUCGAUGACGGUACCCGCAGAAUAAGCACCGGCUAACUACGUG